UACGAAGGGGGCUAGCGUUGCUCGGAAUUACUGGGCGUAAAGGGCGCGUAGGCGGAUAGUUUAGUCAGAGGUGAAAGCCCAGGGCUCAACCUUGGAACUGCCUUUGAUACUGGCUAUCUUGAGUUCGGGAGAGGUGAGUGGAAUGCCGAGUGUAGAGGUGAAAUUCGUAGAUAUUCGGCGGAACACCAGUGGCGAAGGCGACUCACUGGCCCGAUACUGACGCUGAGGCGCGAAAGCGUGGGGGAGCAAACAGG
rnacentral:rRNA from 1 species